rnacentral:piRNA from 1 species
UGGCAACGGAAAUCUUGCAACUCAACCA